rnacentral:miRNA from 1 species
UUGAAUUUGUUCUUGUUGAAUC